rnacentral:misc_RNA from 1 species
GGCCUUGGAUGGCGCGGAGG